rnacentral:rRNA from 1 species
AUACAUAUAUCUUGAAUUUAUAUAAAUAUAAUAUAAAAAAAAGUGAUAAUUUAAAUAUAAUUAUUAGAGUAGUUGAGAAUAAUAGUUGUAGGUAAAAUUUAGAAUUGUUAUUAUUAAUUUAAUUUCUCUAUAAUUUAAACUUUGAAAAUAAGAUUAUAUAAAAACUAGGAUUAGAUACCCUAUUAUUCUUUAUUUUAAAUUUUUUUUAUUUAAGUAGUGUAAAUAUAAUUUAUUAAUUAAUAUUAGUAUUUGAAACUUAAAAAGCUUGGCGGUGCUAUAUAUCCAUUUAGGGGAGCUUGUUUAUUAAUUUGAUAAUCCUCAAUUAACUCUUACUUUUUUUUGAAUAUUUAACAGUUUGUAUAUUGCUGUCGUCAGUUUAUUUCGUGAGAAUUUUUAAAAAACUUAGGAGUAGAUUUACUAGC